GGAAGGAGCAGGCAUUCGUCCAAGUUCAGCGGUGUUCGGGAGUUUCAGUGUCCAAUUUUUGUUCCACGCGAUCGACGCCCAAACAUUGCUGCCUGCAUUCUCGCGAACAAGAUGGCCACCACACAGUUCCCAUGCGUUCGUUCAUAUGAACAGCGGCCACCCAGCCGCACAAUUAGAACCCACACUGGUUGAAGUGUCAGGAGAGGUUAACAAGGGUCAAUAAGCUCAGAGGUGGUCCGCAGUUCGUGGGUUGGUUCAGUUCCCGAACAGUCCAAG